AAUUGCCUGGGGUAUUCGUGUAGACCGCACAUUUCGGGGUCUACAUAUACUCUUUGGGAUUCUUUACCCCCGGCGGAAUUGCAUCUCUCUCUGGAGGGAUACACGAAAUCGGGGCGCGGAAACCCACCUUAAUUUUGGGCCCGGAGAAACAUAGGUUCUUACGGUACCCCGGGUUUUUA
rnacentral:other from 1 species